rnacentral:rRNA from 1 species
UUGAACGCUGGCGGCAGGCCUAACACAUGCAAGUCGAGCGGAUGAAGGGAGCUUGCUCCUGGAUUCAGCGGCGGACGGGUGAGUAAUGCCUAGGAAUCUGCCUGGUAGUGGGGGAUAACGUCCGGAAACGGGCGCUAAUACCGCAUACGUCCUGAGGGAGAAAGUGGGGGAUCUUCGGACCUCACGCUAUCAGAUGAGCCUAGGUCGGAUUAGCUAGUUGGUGGGGUAAAGGCCUGCCAAGGCGACGAUCCGUAACUGGUCUGAGAGGAUGAUCAGUCACACUGGAACUGAGACACGGUCCAGACUCCUACGGGAGGCAGCAGUGGGGAAUAUUGGACAAUGGGCGAAAGCCUGAUCCAGCCAUGCCGCGUGUGUGAAGAAGGUCUUCGGAUUGUAAAGCACUUUAAGUUGGGAGGAAGGGCAGUAAGUUAAUACCUUGCUGUUUUGACGUUACCAACAGAAUAAGCACCGGCUAACUUCGUG